AACGAACGCUGGCGGCAUGCCUAACACAUGCAAGUCGAACGAGACCUUCGGGUCUAGUGGCGCACGGGUGCGUAACGCGUGGGAACCUGCCCUUAGGUUCGGAAUAACUCCCCGAAAGGGGUGCUAAUACCGGAUAAUGUCUUCGGACCAAAGAUUUAUCGCCUUUGGAUGGGCCCGCGUUGGAUUAGCUAGUUGGUAGGGUAAAAGCCUACCAAGGCGACGAUCCAUAGAUGGUCUGAGAGGAUGAUCAUCCACACUGGGACUGAGACACGGCCCAGACUACUACGGGAGGCAGCAGUGGGGAAUAUUGGACAAUGGGCGAAAGCCUGAUCCAGCAAUGACGCGUGAGUGAUGAAGGCCUUAGGGUUGUAAAGCUCUUUUAACCGGGAUGAUAAUGACAGUACCGGGAGAAUAAGCUCCGGCUAACUCCGUG
rnacentral:rRNA from 1 species